ACGCUCGACACCUACGGGAGGCAGCAGUGGGGAAUAUUGCACAAUGGGGGAAACCCUGAUGCAGCGACGCCGCGUGAGUGAAGAAGUAUUUCGGUAUGUAAAGCUCUAUCAGCAGGGAAGAAGAUGACGGUACCUGAGUAAGAAGUCCCGGCUAACUACGUGUCAGCAGCCGCGGUAAUCUGAGCGGGCUGGCAAGGC
rnacentral:rRNA from 1 species